UUUAGUUAAACCUGGAUGAAUUGUAUAUCUAGAAUCAUAAAGCCUCAGCUAAGAUUCUUUCUCACAGCCUAACAAAAUUAGGAACACACAACCUUCCUUAAUACCUUAAUUAAGAUAUCAUUUCUCCCAAUAUCGAAAGACAUAACCUUUUACUAACCCACAUUAUCCUAAUUUGUAUAACUAUGGGGUCCAUAACCUGUUUCUCC
rnacentral:lncRNA from 1 species